AAGAAACUGGAAUAUCCUCCCUUCUUCCACUGUUUGUUGGUGGUGUUUGGCAUCAGCGGCUGAAUUUCACUUGUAGUUAUUGAAAUCAUCAAUCUCCUU